AAACGGUAACAUUGGCAAUGGGGUCCCUUGUGUUGUUGAGGGAUGGGUGCUAAUGCUGACAGCUGAAUGAUUAUCUUCUGACUGUUUUCAUUUGUUAAAGCUUAAACGCAGUGUACAACACAGGACUUCACGACCAGAGCCGCUUUUGGCAAGAGGUGUUGUAGCUGGCUUAAGAGGGUAGAUGGAAGCAUCUGCCUCGGGGUAGGUAAGCGGGUAGAGGUAAGGCAGCAGAUGAGAGUAACUGUCCUAGCUGUGCUGUGGCUUUGGAUGCUGCCUCGGCCUAUGCUUUUCUUCCUCUUUGACAGGUGUCUCACAGAGGUUCAAAGGAGCAAACUGCAUUCUGAAGAGCUGCGUGCCAUGGCAGGCUUUCCACACAAGUGGCUGAGGACUUGAGAUGAGACCAGAGAGUGAUAAGGAGCAGCACGUGCAGGGAUGGUUUCCAAGCGCUGCGGUUGCUUUCUCUUCUGUUUAUCAGGUGCCACAGGCAAGGUGAAGAGGUGCCUGGAGCCCCAUGUCAUCUAGCCUGCGUGUGCCUUGAGGAUGAAGCCUGCUUUCCAGCAGUCCCUAAAGCUAAGUUUGGCCUGAAAUGCCCUGUCUGUGUCUUGGGUGGGGUUGUACCUUGGUGUCUGUGUGAUGUGUGCAUGGGGAUGGCUUUUAAAUCAGUGCAGCAGAGGAACAGAAUCCAGUAACAACUGGGUGAAGAGGCCCUGGGUUCAUCCUUUUCAGCCUAGUGUGUGCCAGGCAGGGCAGUUCCAGCAUGUGUUCUAUGGUGUAUGUUUGUUUCUGUGUACUAGAGUAUCCAUUUAUCAGGUCUUGUUCCCAUAGUUCUUGGCUUCUGCGGUGCUUGCUGAGCACCGUAUCAUGGGUCUUAAAUGUAUUGUCAGGUUGGCACGGGACUAGUAAUGAAGUGUUUCUUGUCUUUCAUUGGGACUUUAAAAGGCUGAUCUCUCUCCAGAGCUUGAUGUAGUCUACGUUUCUUGAUGGCGGCCAUCAUGGCCCUCAGUCUUGGGCUUGUGUAUGUUCAUGUACGGUUUGGGAGCCUGGCUCCAUGUGGUUUGGGGUCCCAGUUCUGUGGUUUUGGACUACUGUUUCUGGUUUGGGGGGGCGGGUGUGGGUGGCUCUCUGUGUGGUGCUGCCUUGGCCUGCCCCGCCGCCGUGUGGUACCGCCCCGGCCAAGUUGGAGCAUGUGAGCAGCUGAAGAAAAAGAGCUAGCGAAAGAGAGGUAUUGCAGCAGGUGCUGUGGCAGGCCUUCCUCAGAAUCUGCUGAGGGUCUGAGGUGGUGUGGGUGAUGCCGGCUGUACUGUUGGAGCUUGGACUCAGAGAGGAAUGGAUGAUGAUAAGCCUGGCAAUGGGCUAAGAUGUCUGUCAGUGGCUGUGCAUUUCUUGAGGUGGAGGGAAUUUACCAUCCAGCAAUCUGAGAGCUAAUAGAGGGUAAACCUUAGGAGGAACCGGUCACAGGAAAGAGCUCCUUCUGGAACUGUCAAGCACUUGGUAGGCAACCCGGUGACUGGCUUGAUCUACUUUCCAGAUGCUGAGGCAAGGGGGCUGCUGUUUUGAAAUGAUAAAAUUAGAAAUGGGGUCCCUUGUGUUGUUGAGGGAUGGGUGUUAAUGCUGACAGCUGAAUGAUUAUCUUCUGACUGUUUUCAUUU